CUGGUCUCAAAUUCCUAGGCUCAAGUGAUUCCGCCCACCUCUGCCUCCCAAAGUGCUGGGAUUACGGGCAUGAGCCAGCGCAUCUGGCCACCUUAUUUUCUGUUACUGGCUCAGUGUAAUGGCUCCAUCUCAGGAACAGCCAAUGAAAGAGAUGCACAGGACAAGAAACAGGACCUUGCCCUGUCACUCAGGAUGGAGUUCAAUGGUCCUAUCAUGGCUCAUUAUAGCCUUAAACUCCCAGGCUCAAGCAAUCCUACCAUGUCAGCCUUCCCAGUAGCUGGGACUACAGGAAGUGACCUCACAAUGACUCAAGCUACCACAUACUGUUGAUUGUGAAAUGCCAGUUGAAGCAUAUGUCCUGCGAGCUUAGGGGUGCUACAAGUUGACCACUGCAGCAGUAAAGAUGACUCUGAAGAAUGGCAUGGGAUGGAUCCUUUCGAAUGCACUUGAGCAGCGGUCUCCAACCACAGGGCCACAGAGCUGGAGCUGGAUCUACCAUGAAAGACUUCUGAAUCCAGGAAGAGAGACUGACUGGGCAACAUGUUAUUCAGGGUCUCCCUCUGUUGUCCAAGGCUGGAGUGUAGUAGUGCUA
rnacentral:lncRNA from 1 species